rnacentral:rRNA from 1 species
AACGAACGCUGGCGGCAGGCCUAACACAUGCAAGUCGAACGUGAAGCCAGAGCUUGCUCUGGUGGAAAGUGGCAGACGGGUGAGUAACGCGUGGGAAAUUACCCAGUAGUACGGAACAACAGUUGGAAACGACUGCUAAUACCGUAUACGCCCUCCGGGGGAAAGAUUUAUCGCUAUUGGAGAUGCCCGCGUCGGAUUAGCUUGUUGGUGAGGUAACGGCUCACCAAGGCGACGAUCCGUAGCUGGUCUGAGAGGAUGAUCAGCCACACUGGGACUGAGACACGGCCCAGACCCCUACGGGAGGCAGCAGUGGGGAAUAUUGCACAAUGGGCGCAAGCCUGAUGCAGCCAUGCCGCGUGAGUGAUGAAGGCCUUAGGGUUGUAAAACUACUUUCACCGGUGAAGAUAAUGACGGUAACCGGAGAAGAAGCCCCGGCUAACUUCGUG